rnacentral:rRNA from 1 species
UAGUCUCGCACAGAUGCAUAUCAAUAAGCGGAGGAAAAGAAACUAACAAGGAUUCCCCUAGUAACGGCGAGUGAAGCGGGAAGAGCUCAAAUUUGAAAUCUUAAAGGGUUUCCCUUUACGAAUUGUAGUUUAAAGAAGUGUUUUCUGUUGAGGUUUUGGUAAAAGUUCUUUGGAAUAGGACAUCAUAGAGGGUGAGAAUCCCGUAUUUGACCUUUACUUUCAACUUUGUGAUACACUUUCAAAGAGUCGGAUUGUUUGGGAAUGCAGUCCAAAAUGGGUGGUAAAUUUCAUCUAAAGCUAAAUAUUGGCGAGAGACCGAUAGCGAACAAGUACCGUGAGGGAAAGAUGAAAAGAACUUUGAAAAGAGAGUUAAACAGUACGUGAAAUUGUCAAAAGGGAAGCGUUUGACACCAGUGUUGUUUUUCUGAAAAUCAAUUAAAGAACUGUUUAUGCUAAGUUGUUUAGACUUUAUCAGCUAUCUGCUUAGUUUUGAGCUUUUCUUUAAUGCACUUUUCAGUUAACAAGUCAACAUCAAUUUCUUUUGCUGUAAAAAAGCUUGAGGAAGGUGGCUUGAGAUUCGUCUUAAGUGUUUAUAGCCUCUUGCCUAUGCAGUCGGAGAGAUUGAGGUCUGCAGCGUAGAUCCUUCGGGGCUAAAUGCAUUUGUGCUAAGUUAUAGCAUUUUAUAGACAACUUGUUGACUAUGAUUUGUCUUGUAGCUUACUCGCUUAUGUUAUUUUACCUACGCUUAGGAUGUUGACGCAUGAGAUAUACGC